UACGGGGGGGAGCAAGCGUUGUUCGGAUUUACUGGGCGUAAAGGGCGCGUAGGCGGCGCAACAAGUCACUUGUGAAAUCUCCGGGCUUAACCCGGAGCGGUCAAGUGAUACUGUCGUGCUAGAGUGCGGAAGGGGCUACUGGAAUUCUCGGUGUAGCGGUGAAAUGCGUAGAUAUCGGAGAGGGAACACCUGCGGCGAAGGCGGGUAGCUGGGCCGACACUGACGCUGAUGCGCGAAAGCCAGGGGAGCGAACGGG
rnacentral:rRNA from 1 species